rnacentral:rRNA from 1 species
GAUGAACGCUGGCGGCGUGCCUAAUACAUGCAAGUCGAGCGAACGGACGAGAAGCUUGCUUCUCUGAUGUUAGCGGCGGACGGGUGAGUAACACGUGGAUAACCUACCUAUAAGACUGGGAUAACUUCGGGAAACCGGAGCUAAUACCGGAUAAUAUUUUGAACCGCAUGGUUCAAAAGUGAAAGACGGUCUUGCUGUCACUUAUAGAUGGAUCCGCGCUGCACUAGUUAGUUGGUAAGGUAACGGCUUACCAAGGCAACGAUGCAUAGCCGACCUGAGAGGGUGAUCGGCCACACUGGAACUGAGACACGGUCCAGACUCCUACGGGAGGCAGCAGUAGGGAAUCUUCCGCAAUGGGCGAAAGCCUGACGGAGCAACGCCGCGUGAGUGAUGAAGGUCUUCGGAUCGUAAAACUCUGUUAUUAGGGAAGAACAUAUGUGUAAGUAACUGUGCACAUCUUGACGGUACCUAAUCAGAAAGCCACGGCUAACUACGUG